rnacentral:rRNA from 1 species
GAUGAACGCUGGCGGCGUGCCUAAUACAUGCAAGUCGAGCGAACUGAUUAGAAGCUUGCUUCUAUGACGUUAGCGGCGGACGGGUGAGUAACACGUGGGCAACCUGCCUGUAAGACUGGGAUAGCUUCGGGAAACCGAAGCUAAUACCGGAUAGGAUCUUCUCCUUCAUGGGAGAUGAUUGAAAGAUGGUUUCGGCUAUCACUUACAGAUGGGCCCGCGGUGCAUUAGCUAGUUGGUGAGGUAACGGCUCACCAAGGCAACGAUGCAUAGCCGACCUGGGAGGGUGAUCGGCCACACUGGGACUGAGACACGGCCCAGACUCCUACGGGAGGCAGCAGUAGGGAAUAUUGCGCAAUGGGCGAAAGCCUGACGCAGCGACGCCGCGUGGAGGAUGACGGUCUUCGGAUUGUAAACUCCUGUUAAGUGGGAAGAAAACCCAAUCUCUAACAUAGAUUGGUUAUGACGGUACCACUAGAGAAAGCACCGGCUAACUUCGUGCCAGCCGCCGCCGUAAGAC